rnacentral:tRNA from 1 species
GGGCGCAUAGCUCAGUUGGUUAGAGCACCUGCCUUACAAGCAGGGGGUCGUUGGUUCGAGUCCGACUGCGCCCA